ACAGAGGUCCCAAGCGUUGUUCGGAAUCACUGGGCGUAAAGGGUGCGUAGGCGGUAUAGUAAGACUUGGGUGAAAUCUCCAUGCUUAACGUGGAGGGAGCCUGGGAGACUGCUGUGCUAGAGGAUUGGAAGGGAGACUGGAAUUCUUGGAGUAGCAGUGAAAUGCGUAGAUAUCAAGAGGAACACCAGUGGCGAAGGCGAGUCUCUGGACAAGACCUGACGCUGAGGCACGAAGGCCAGGGGAUCAAACGG
rnacentral:rRNA from 1 species